rnacentral:rRNA from 1 species
AUCCGAGUGGUUCCCGCUGAGGGAAUCUUUUGUCGGCUCUAAAAAGGCCGGUGAAUAAGGGGAGGGCAAGUCUGGUGUCAGCCGCCGCGGUAAUACCAGCUCCUCGAGUGGUCGGGGCGAUUAUUGGGCCUAAAGCAUCCGUAGCCGCGUUCUGUAGGUCCUCUGUUAAAUCCAACGGCUUAACCGUUGGCCCUGCAGAGAGAUACCGCAGGACUAGGAGGCGGGAGAGGCGGACGGUACUCUACGUGUAGGGGUAAAAUCCUUUGAUCCGUGGAAGACCACCAGUGGCGAAGGCGGUCUGCCAGAACGCGCUCGACGGUGAGGGAUGAAAGCUGGGGGAGCGAACCGGAUUAGAUACCCGGGUAGUCCCAGCCGUAAACGAUGCGAGCUAGAUGAUUCAAUCGCAAAUCGCGAUGGAAGUGUCGCAGGGAAGCCGUUAAUCUC